rnacentral:lncRNA from 1 species
UAGAUUCUCCAACUUGUGGCAGCUGGAGUGGAGAACAUUCCAGAGCCUUCAGGGAAGAAGCGAGACAGGGAAGUGGCUGGGGAGUGUCCACCUGGAAUCUGGUCGCCAGGCCUUCUGUGCGUCCCUGGAAGUAGGAAAUGGUUGUUACAGUUCUGCGAGCCUGUCACCCAAUGUGCGACUGAAUCUAUGCCUGGUACCUUCCCUUUCCCCCUUGUGCAUCAUCGGGGAGCCUCCUUGUGACUAGAAUCUAGCCCAGAUCGCCAUUUCUUAGGAGGAGCUGAGAGGAAGAGUGGCUGUCGGACUUCUUAAAGCCGUGCACCAGGAGCUGGUGACCUUCAGAGAUGUGGCAGUAGACUUCCCCCAAGAGGAAUGGGGUUGCCUGAAUUCUUCUCAAAGGCAUUUGUACAGUUGUGUGAUGUUGGAGAACUAUAGAAUCCUGGUGUCUCUGGGCCUUUGCUUUUCUAAGCCAAGUGUAAUAUUCCUGUUGGAACAAGGGAAAGACCCAUGGACCGUGAAGACAGAGCUGACAGACAGUUUCUCCACAGGUGGGCAUCGCUACCGGUGGAUAAACACAGAACACUACGUGGAGCGAGGCUCAAAGAACAGCGGUGCAGGUAAGUGGGGCCAGGACUCAAGCGAAGGU